ACCUCAAAUCAGGUAAGAAUACCCGCUGAACUUAAGCAUAUCAAUAAGCGGAGGAAAAGAAAAUAACAAUGAUUCCCUCAGUAACGGCGAGCGAAGAGGGAUAAGCUCAAAUUUUAAAUCUGUUGGGUUCCACUUAACAGAGUUGUAUUUUGAAGAAACGUUUUCUGCAUCCAGGAUUAGCCUAAAUCCUUUGGGAUAAGGUAUCAUGGAGGGUGAGAAUCCCGUUCAUGGUUAAUCUUAAGGAAGCUCUACGAUACGUUUUCCAAGAGUCGAGUUGUUUGGGAUUGCAGCUCAAAAUGGGAGGUAAAUUUCUCCUAAGGCUAAAUAUUGGCGAGAGACCGAUAGCGAACAAGUACCGUGAGGGAAAGAUGAAAAGAACUUUGAAAAGAGAGUUAAACAGUACGUGAAAUUGUUGAAAGGGAAACGAUUGAAGUCAGUCAUACCAACGGGAAAUCAACCUUUUGAGCUCGGUCUCGUGGGUUUUGAAGAGUUUCAAAGCCUUCGGAUUCGCGGGAUUGGGAUCUCUUGGUGUACUUUUUCGUACGGUUAGUCAACAUCGGUUUUGAAUGUCAUAAAAUGACUGGAGGAAUGUAGCUUCGAUCUCGUAUUGAAGUGUUAUAGCCUUUGGUAGAUGUGAUGUUUGAGACCGAGGAUUGCAACGGAUACCCUUCAGGGCUAUUCGUCUGAUCUCUGAUACGUUGCCUUGAUGUUGAAAGCUUGCUUAUGAUGUUAGGGUAUUACGGUCAAAAGGUUAGAACGGAUUAGAUUCGUUAAGGAUGUUGACGUAAUGACUUUAAACGACCCGUCUUGAAACACGGACCAAGGAGUCUAACAUAUAUGCGAGUGUUC
rnacentral:rRNA from 1 species